UACGGGGGGGGUAAACGUUGUUCGGAAUUACUGGGCGUAAAGGGCUCGUAGGCGGCCAACUAAGUCAUACGUGAAAUCCCUCAGCUUAACUGGGGAACUGCGUGUGAUACUGGAUGGCUUGGAUUUGGGAGAGGGAUGCGGAAUUCCAGGUGUAGCGGUGAAAUGCGUAGAUAUCGGGAGGAACACCAGUGGCGAAGGCGACUACCUGGCCUGUUCUUGACGCUGAGGCGCGAAAGCUAGGGGAGCAAACGGG
rnacentral:rRNA from 1 species